rnacentral:lncRNA from 7 species
CCCCAAAACAGCGAUAUUUUAGGCACCUCUUUUCUCUCCAGGAGCCUUCAAAAACAAAUGACUCACAGGACAAAUAAUCAGAGCUUUCAGAAGACUGCUGGGAUAACAUUACUCAUGACUCCACUCCACUUCUUGUCUUUUCAUAAGGGUUGGAGCCGCCCCCCAGCACCUCCUGCAGCAUUUGUGCCAUUGGGUGAAGGACAAAACCCACUUAUAUGGGGCAAUGUGGGGCAGGGAGCCCCCACUGGGUGAACCCCUCUGGGUGGCAACGUGGCACACUACAUCUUAUAAGCACAGUGCCGAGCUCUGCUUUAUUGUCAUCAGUUUGAGCAGCACAGAAGCAGACAGCGUUGCACCUUUUUUUUUUUCUUUUCCUUCUUUUUCAUUUUAAUUAACACUUUUACAAAGUACAAAAUAUACUGUCAUUUGUUUUGGAACAUUAGGAUUUUUUUUUUCUUCUUUUUUUUUUCUGUGUGUGUUCUGUGUUUGAUUUCCUUUUUCUUCCACCCCCCCCAUACAGUACAUAAACCUCAGCUUGGCAGCAGCAGACCGGCGAAGGAAAGCAGCGCAUUGGGAAUGCAAAGCGGCCGCUCUCAGCUGCACAGCCCGAUGCUGGUCUGGGUGAGCCCCACAACGGUUUGCAGUAGGCUGGGAGUUCAAAGGGAAAAAUACACUGCAUCAUUUGCAUCCCCCAAGGAGAGGCUCCUGGGGAAGGGUUUGUGAGGGUCCAGAGGGCUGUGCACCCCCACAUGGCCACUGCAGCAGUGGGGCAGCCCCUGCUGUCCUGACAGCUCGCUGGAAGUUUAUGGGGGGGGCAACACUGUGAGCAAUCCUUGGGGAAAUGCAGGCUUCCUAAGGGCAGAGAAGGGUGGAGAGAUCUGCUGGGCCCUGCUCCAGCCAGGCAGGACCCCAGCAUAGUGUUAGGGCAGAGCUGCACCCCUUCCAGGUGCUGCCAACCAGGGCACUGCAGUGCCAGAACCACACUACAGCCUCAAGUGAGGGGGAUGGUGGGGCUGCUCCAUACAAAGUCCUCCCCCACUGACCCUUGUGGUGCCCAGUGAGCAGCAGGCAGGCAGCAGGACCAUCACACCCCUCAUUUUAGUGACAAACCCGGGGCCAACAGGCCAGCUGUAUUAGUGGGGAAGGGGGAGAUGGGCUCUCCUGAAGCACUCCAGCUUCAUGAGAAGGAAGUCCCAAUGUACGUCACCCCAGAGCACCUCAUGCUCCCCAGCACCCCCACAAAGCCACGAGGUGCACAGAAAAUGGCGUUCUUUCAAGUUACAAAAGAGCUGGUGGGAGUUCUUUGGGAAAAAGGCUGAUGGCUGCUAUUGCAGAAAGCUCAUUCAGUGCCUCAGCACAGGGAUGGCAGGGGAGUGGGGGAACCCCACACUGCCAACAGCAUCUGCCAAAUGUGCCAUGCAGGGACAGCGCCUCUGCCACUUCCACAGCCAGAGGAAAAAUCCAACCAUGCCCCAAAAUGAAGGCAGAACAGAGCUGUGCUUGUGGCAUCAUCUCCCAGGGCAGCACUGGUACCAGCAGCACGCUGCAGUGUCUGUAGUGCACAGUGAGCUUUGGGACCCAACCAUGCCAUCUCCCCAGGCCAUGCCAAACCCACAUGCACCUCAUCCACAGAACUGAGUGUGGGCAGUGGGGCCGUGUGCUCUGCGUGGCAGCGUUCAGCCCCAGCCCUGCAUCCCAUCAUCUUCCCAACCAGCAGAAGGGGCUGGUGCUGGCUGGAGACUGACAAGAGGGACUUCUUGGCUAUUCAGUUCCCAAGAGGUAAUAAAAGUUUAAUCCAGUCCGCCAUCUGCAGUCAGGACGGGGACGGUAAGUGAGAUGCCUUAAGCUGCUGCUGGAGACGCGCACAGGAGAGGCAGUGACAGAAAGAAAGGGACAAAUGCCAUCGCCAAAUGACGCCCAUCACUGAUGGCUGCAACGCCACGCUGCUGGGGCUGAACCCAGAGCAAGAAAGCAGCAAUCGCCCAGCAGCCACGUGGGACCACGGGCUCUCUUUUGGGCACAGCGCCCACACACGGGACCCGAUGCCUCGUGCACAACGUCACUGAUCCUUCAUGGAGGGAUUUUGGAUGCUUGAUUCAAAGUGGCACCGCCACGAUGGCAGCCCGGCAGCGAAAAGGACGAGAGGAAAAGGAGCAGCUUUUCUCCCAUCGCUGUGCUUGAGGCACCCGGCUGCAGACGGAGCGGGACCACGUGCUCCUAUUGCUGACACACUUGAAGUCGAAAUACACAGUGAGUACACGUGUGCAGACAGCAUUUACUACAUCUGUACGUGCCCCGUGUAAGCACACAGCACGUGUGAGUCUCUAUUGCUCAGGUGUGUGUGCUGUGCACAGUCACACCAACACAAACCACCACGGGCAUUUCUAUGUGUGCACACACUUGCACGGGAGAAAGGAAUCUGCAGCUGAAAUCCAACCAGGCAGAAGAACAAAAGAAAGAAAGAAAGAAAGAAAAAGGCAAGGAGGGGGAAAAAAAGCCCCAAUUGCGGAGAAAUGGAAGGCCUCGAGGAGGGGAAGCUGAGGAUGACGGGGGGCACAAAGAGCCCAUGUGGGGUUGUGCACCUUGUGGCAUUUUUGGGCCCAUGUCUGCAGGGUGGGACAGCCCCGUGUGGUGCUUUGCAGCCACAGAUUUCGGGAAUUUAAGGCCACUUCCCUCCAGGAAAGAAGUGGAACAACCAAAACCACCUCUAAAUCAUCCUGAGUGCAAAAUUAAAGG